rnacentral:rRNA from 1 species
UACGUAGGGAGCAAGCGUUGUUCGGAUUUACUGGGCGUAAAGGGCGCGUAGGCGGCCUUCUAAGUCGAACGUGAAAUCCCCGGGCUCAACCCGGGAACUGCGUCCGAUACUGGAAGGCUUGAAUCCGGGAGAGGGAUGUGGAAUUCCAGGUGUAGCGGUGAAAUGCGUAGAUAUCUGGAGGAAUACCGGUGGCGAAGGCGGCGUUCUGGACUACAUCUGACACUGAUGAACGAAAGCCAGGGGAGCAAACGGG